rnacentral:rRNA from 2 species
GGUUAAGUUAGAAAGGGCGCACGGUGAAUGCCUUGGCACUAGGAGCCGAUGAAGGACGGGACUAACACCGAUAUGCUUCGGGGAGCUGUAAGUGAGCUUUGAUCCGGAGAUUUCCGAAUGGGGAAACCCACUGUUCGUAAUGGAACAGUAUCUUUAUCUGAAUACAUAGGAUAUUGAAGGCAGACCCGGGGAACUGAAACAUCUAAGUACCCGGAGGAAGAGAAAGCAAAUGCGAUUUCCUGAGUAGCGGCGAGCGAAACGGAAUUAGCCCAAACCAAGAGGCUUGCCUCUUGGGGUUGUAGGACACUCUAUACGGAGUUACAAAGGAACGAAGUAAAUGAAGCGACCUGGAAAGGUCCGUCGAAGAAGGUAACAACCCUGUAGUUGAAACUUCGUUCCCUCUUGAGUGGAUCCUGAGUACGGCGGAACACGUGAAAUUCCGUCGGAAGCUGGGAGGACCAUCUCCCAAGGCUAAAUACUACCUAGUGACCGAUAGUGAACCAGUACCGUGAGGGAAAGGUGAAAAGCACCCCGGAAGGGGAGUGAAAGAGAUCCUGAAACCGUGUGCCUACAAGUAGUCAGAGCCCGUUAAUGGGUGAUGGCGUGCCUUUUGUAGAAUGAACCGGCGAGUUACGAUCCCAUGCAAGGUUAAGCUGAUAAGGCGGAGCCGUAGCGAAAGCGAGUCUGAAUAGGGCGUUUAGUAUGUGGUUGUAGACCCGAAACCAGGUGAUCUACCCAUGUCCAGGGUGAAGUUCAGGUAACACUGAAUGGAGGCCCGAACCCACGCACGUUGAAAAGUGCGGGGAUGAGGUGUGGGUAGCGGAGAAAUUCCAAUCGAACCUGGAGAUAGCUGGUUCUCUCCGAAAUAGCUUUAGGGCUAGCCUCAUGUUGUGAGAGUCUUGGAGGUAGAGCACUGAUUGGACUAGGGGCCCCCAACGGGUUACCGAAUUCAGUCAAACUCCGAAUGCCAAAGACUUAUCCAUGGGAGUCAGACUGCGAGUGAUAAGAUCCGUAGUCAAAAGGGAAACAGCCCAGACCACCAGCUAAGGUCCCCAAGUAUACGUUAAGUGGAAAAGGAUGUGGAGUUGCUUAGACAACCAGGAUGUUGGCUUAGAAGCAGCCACCAUUUAAAGAGUGCGUAAUAGCUCACUGGUCGAGUGACUCUGCGCCGAAAAUGUACCGGGGCUAAACGUAUCACCGAAGCUGUGGAUUGACAUCUUUGAUGUCAGUGGUAGGAGAGCGUUCUAAGUGCUGUGAAGUCAGACCGUAAGGACUGGUGGAGCGCUUAGAAGUGAGAAUGCCGGUAUGAGUAGCGAAAGACAAGUGAGAAUCUUGUCCACCGAAUGCCUAAGGUUUCCUGAGGAAGGCUCGUCCGCUCAGGGUUAGUCGGGACCUAAGCCGAGGCUGAAAAGCGUAGGCGAUGGCCAACAGGUUGAUAUUCCUGUACCACCUCCCCGCCGUUUGAGUAAUGGGGGGACGCAGUAGGAUAGGGUAAGCGCGCUGCUGGAUAUGCGCGUUCAAGCAGUUAGGCUGAUGAGUAGGCAAAUCCGCUCAUCAUAAAGGCUGAGCUGUGAUGACGAGGGAAUUAUAGUACCGAAGUUCCUGAUUCCACACUGCCAAGAAAAGCCUCUAGCGAGGCGGGAGGUGCCCGUACCGCAAACCGACACAGGUAGGCGAGGAGAGAAUCCUAAGGUGAUCGAGAGAACUCUCGUUAAGGAACUCGGCAAAAUGACCCCGUAACUUCGGGAGAAGGGGUGCUCUGGUAGGGUGUAUAGCCCGAGAGAGCCGCAGUGAAUAGGCCCAGGCGACUGUUUAGCAAAAACACAGGUCUCUGCGAAGCCGCAAGGCGAAGUAUAGGGGCUGACGCCUGCCCGGUGCUGGAAGGUUAAGAGGAGGGGUUAUCCUUUGGGAGAAGCUCUGAAUCGAAGCCCCAGUAAACGGCGGCCGUAACUAUAACGGUCCUAAGGUAGCGAAAUUCCUUGUCGGGUAAGUUCCGACCCGCACGAAAGGCGUAACGAUCUGGGCACUGUCUCAACGAGAGACUCGGUGAAAUUAUAGUACCUGUGAAGAUGCAGGUUACCCGCGACAGGACGGAAAGACCCCGUGGAGCUUUACUGUAGCCUGAUAUUGAAUUUUGGUACAGCUUGUACAGGAUAGGUAGGAGCCUGAGAAGCCGGAGCGCUAGCUUCGGUGGAGGCGUCGGUGGGAUACUACCCUGGCUGUAUUGAAAUUCUAACCCGCGGCCCUGAUCGGGCCGGGAGACAGUGUCAGGUGGGCAGUUUGACUGGGGCGGUCGCCUCCUAAAAUGUAACGGAGGCGCCCAAAGGUUCCCUCAGAAUGGUUGGAAAUCAUUCGUAGAGUGUAAAGGCACAAGGGAGCUUGACUGCGAGACCUACAAGUCGAGCAGGGACGAAAGUCGGGCUUAGUGAUCCGGUGGUUCCGCAUGGAAGGGCCAUCGCUCAACGGAUAAAAGCUACCCCGGGGAUAACAGGCUUAUCUCCCCCAAGAGUCCACAUCGACGGGGAGGUUUGGCACCUCGAUGUCGGCUCAUCGCAUCCUGGGGCUGUAGUCGGUCCCAAGGGUUGGGCUGUUCGCCCAUUAAAGCGGUACGCGAGCUGGGUUCAGAACGUCGUGAGACAGUUCGGUCCCUAUCCGUCGUGGGCGUAGGAAAUUUGAGAGGAGCUGUCCUUAGUACGAGAGGACCGGGAUGGACACACCGCUGGUGUACCAGUUGUCUUGCCAAAGGCAUCGCUGGGUAGCUAUGUGUGGACGGGAUAAGUGCUGAAAGCAUCUAAGCAUGAAGCCCCCCUCAAGAUGAGAUUUCCCAUAGCGCAAGCUAGUAAGAUCCCUGAAAGAUGAUCAGGUUGAUAGGUCAGAGGUGGAAGCGUGGCGACAUGUGUAGCUGACUGAUACUAAUCGAUCGAGGACUUAACCAA